AUUGAACGCUGGCGGCAUGCCUUACACAUGCAAGUCGAACGGUAACGCGGGGGCAACCCUGGCGACGAGUGGCGAACGGGUGAGUAAUACAUCGGAACGUACCCAGUAGUGGGGGAUAGCUCGGCGAAAGCCGGAUUAAUACCGCAUACGACCUACGGGUGAAAGCGGGGGAUCGAAAGACCUCGCGCUAUUGGAGCGGCCGAUGUCGGAUUAGCUUGUUGGUGAGGUAAAAGCUCACCAAGGCGACGAUCCGUAGCUGGUCUGAGAGGACGACCAGCCACACUGGGACUGAGACACGGCCCACGACUCCUACGGGAGGCAGCAGUGGGGAAUUUUGGUACAAUGGCGCAAGCCUGAUCCAGCCAUGCCGCGUGUGUGAAGAAGGCCUCGGUUGUAAG
rnacentral:rRNA from 1 species